GAUGGCGAGGGAGCGGGACGACUGCGGGGUGCCGGCGGCCCGCGCCCCGCCUCCUGUCCAGUCCGGGGCGGGUGUCUCCGCGGUCGCUGGGCCCCGCGCUCCGUGGCCUUGCUGGACAACUUGCUGCCUGUGAGUAAGCCGGCGCCCCGCCCUCCGCGGGCCCUCAGCGCCGGCCACCUGUGGCGCCCGCCCGGCCGCUCUGGGGCGCGCGGGCACCGGUCCCGCUCCCGCCCGCCCCCGUCCCGGGCGGGACCCUUCCACUUGUCCCUUGCUGCCGAGAACGCUCCUUUUCUUUGGACUACUUUUAAGGGCCGCGGGGGGAGGUGUCCUCCUGGGCUGGCAGGUUCCUGUUCUGUGGUGUGAGAAGCAUUAACUUUCCAUUCAGCAAACAUUUCUUGUGCGCCUCCUUGUUCGGCUUCUGCACUGGCAAAGAUGGACUAGCAACAGCUGCCACUCUGCAGCUCUCAGGCCAGAGCAGAUGUGCAUGUCACAGGACGUUGCCAAGCCCAGGGGAGCUUGUUGGUGAAGAAGCCCUGUACCGAUCACCAGAAUAGCGAGCUGUUGUCUGGGGCGGCCAGUGUCCCAGUCAGAUGGAUUUGAAGAUUACAGUAGGAUCGUGACAGCAGGAGGAUACCAAACUUCUUGGACCUUCUAGGCCAGGACAACCUGCUCCCUCUGGUACACCUGGAAUCUUUAACUGUCAGGUCAUUGUCAGAGGACUCCUUGACAUCUUCUGGGACUUCAGUGCCAAUGAAGACGACUUCUCUGUGGUGGUGGAGAUUGUAGUUCGACUGUCAGAAGAUUCAGGUUUGUGUUAGCAGACCUGGUCAGGAAGUGCUCUCGAUUCUUCUGGAACAAGAGCUACUUUUCCAUCACGAUAUUGAAAACAACGUGCGUCCAGCUCUGCUGGAGCUGUCUGCCCCGACAGUGCUCGUGAGCAGAGCGGAAGCCGCGAGCACAGCCUGACAAGGAGUGACUGCCGGCACCUGCGGGGCCUGUCACGGGGUUGGCAGUGUCUUCAUGGUCAGCACCCUUCCUGUGAACGAGGUGGCGGGCGACUCAGCCUCAGUCUGGAAGCUUGUGGAGCAGCCCCUAGCCUGCUCGGGAGGUUCUGAUUCAGCUUUUGUGCAAGUGACCUUCAGCACUGUGGCACCAGCAUGCAUCUGUUAAGAAGUGGCUUGGGGAACCGUCGGUUUGCAGGGUGAUCGAGAAGGAAAGGAGUAAGUUGGACUGGGCCGAUCCCCUCUGUGUGUAGGACUCUGCAGCCAUGUGGUGUGAACACUGCCACAGCACAGGUUCAUAAAGACACACCCACUGAGAACGGUGCCGUUUUGGAGGAAUGACUUCUUCCCAAGGAAACUGCACGUCAUGUGGACAGAGUGCUCUUCAGUGGACUGCUCAUUCUCUUGGGAAUUAGCCAAUCGGUCGGGGUGCUGCCAACACCAGCGCAUCAGCAUCGACAGCUUCUUUGGAUGAACCGUGUUCAGUUUCAUUCUGUCUUAUGGAUUGGCUUCUGGUUCCAAGAUAUAAUCCCUUAGCCUCUGCUAAGUCAGUUUGUGUCAAUGGCUGACCUAGUGUAGGCCAAGACCGUUGAUACUGACAUAGCCAGACACUGUGCCUACAAGCCUCCCAUGAUGGCCGUGAACCUGAGCAGGCGGACCUCGCACUGCCUGAAAGACACGUACAAACACUGGCUUCGUGCAGGUGGUGGUAUGUGAGGAAGGACCAGCCUGAGGAGCUUCCCAGCCUCUGAGCCUCGCUUCAGCUCCCGCACUGCUGGCCAAGGGCGCGCCCCGCUCCUUUCUGAACUUACACACUGCAGUAAACCCUCUGAUGUUAAAGGUGGCAUCUGGACUUCCGCUAGGAAAUGAGGCCAAGUUGCCUGAUAGCACACUUCAGAAGUAUUAGGGUACUUUAGAAAUGCCAGUAACCCUCAUCUUGAAGUUGCUGAAGAGACCAUCUCGGCUUUGCAGUCGACAGGACCACGGUCUUUCCUUUUCUGCCACCGUAGAGCCAAGUGACAGAGCAUCAUGGACACUCUGCACAGGAGGAGCAGAGUGAACCCUCUGCCACCCUUGUUUCAUGCCUGGCAUCUUCAGCCUGUGACCUGAAGGGGAACUGGUAGUGUUUUACCUGCUGAAGAAGAAGAGACGUCUGAAACGUGCAUGUUGUGCAGAUGACUGACUCUUUCCUGUCUGCGGCUCCCAAGGACUGAAUCUCGGAGGGGACUCAGGGCAGGUGGCUGGGCACCUGACCCAGGACAGUGCGUGGACAGGGCGCAGGCCUAGGUGGCUGGCGGGUGUCAGGCCUCGCAGCCACGUCGCCUGCUCACAGUUAGUUUGCCCUGCGCGGACUGUGUUCAGGUCUCCCCUCCCGGUUGCCUGUCAGAGGCUUUGGAAUCUUUAACAGACUGGCGUGUUUGUUUCCCUUUUGCUUUUCUACGAAAUACAGUUUAUGGUGUUAUAUUUUAUUUUUAACUGAAAUACUGUACAUAUGUAAAUAUCUUUUUCUUUAAUUUCGAAAUAAGAUCUCACUAAGUUGCUCAGGCUGGCCUUAAAGUUGGAAUCCAUCUGCCUCAGCCUCAGAAGUAACCAGGACUACAGGCAUGCACUACCAUGCCCAGCUCGUACAGAACUCUCAACCAGAAAAAAAUACACGAACGUAAUAUCAGCUUCCUAUCAGUGAACUGAACAGAUAUAUCAUUGAAAUUUAUGCUGCACUCUGAGUUGCUGCAAACGCAGCCCAGCUGGUUUACUUUUGAAAAAUGUGACAAAGCCACUAAGAGUGAUUUAUGGGACUUUCUAAUAUUGUGCUUGCUUGAGAAGCUGUGCUGGGAACUUCUCAGGCACUCACCCUUCUGUUCCUUGCCAGAACUCUACCCCCACAGAUGGCGUUGGUGUAAAGCUGGAGGACUUUUCAUUGUUGUACAGAUAUGUUGUCUGUGUUUAAGAACUCGGGAGGGAAGUUGAUAAUGCAUGGGUAUCAACUUUAUAUCUAAUGCUUUAGAAUCUUAAAAGAUAGGAAACCGUAGUUCUGAUCAGAACGUGCCCACAAAUACCAGUGAUCCUGGGGGUUAAAUUAUGUACUCUUCAAAUUGAUGUAAGUACACAUGCUUUUAAAAUUUAGACUCAGACGCUUUAACAUUUAAAGUUUUUUCGUUAAUAAUUCAAGGUUCUGUAAACAUUUGAUUAAACUGCAUGCAUGUGUGUCAUUUUUCUUGUUUCUCUGUUGAUCUUCUCCACUGUUGGCCCAGGGGAGGAAGGAGCAGCCCCCUGGGAUCUAGGAGCCAGUGGCCAAGGGCCGGGAGCUAUUUCAGCUACUUUUUGUUUCCCCUCUCAUCUUUUUCUUGUAUAUUUUUUCCUUCUUUUUUUAAAUAAAAUUUUUGACCCUACAUAUUGAAUUUCCUGGUAUAAAGGAUAUCCCCUCCCCAAUCCCCAAAUCCCAUUGAACUGAUUCUCUGAGAAGAACCGAAGGAAUCCAUACCUACUAUGCCAAAGAAAAUAAGGUACAUGGGUGAAAAUCUUAGUUUGUAGUCCAG